GGAACAAAAGAGGGACUGACAGAUGGCAGAAGGAUGGCGGUGUGGCAGAGGGACAGAUCGGAAAGCAGAGAACUACCCUCUGAUCAGGAAGAAGAAAAGGUGAAGGCCUCAGACAACUUCAGUCAUCUGGAAGAAGCCUUCUGUUUGCAAGCCCUGAUGCUCAUGGUAGACUUUAACCACUGAAAUAUCUGCUGGAGUGUCACAGGUGAUCUAGAAGGUGCCUGAAGUGCAGAUGAUAACUUCCUAAGAUCAAGUAGCUAGUGAGGGAAAAUUCCCUUAUAGAUCUGAUUCCUAUCAACAAGAAAGAACUGGUUGAGAAUGUGAGAGCUGAGUGCAUCCUUGGCUGCAGUGACUAUGAGAUAGUGGAGUUCAGCAUCCUAAAAGUAGCAGGAUCACUAACCUGGACUCAGGAAAUAUGACUUUGCCAUCUUAAGGAAUCUGCUUGGAAGAAUCCUGUGGGAUGCAGUCCUGGAGUGGAAAGCGAUCCAGGAAAAGGAUCCAGAGACUAAUUUUCAAGGAUCAGCUCCUCCAAGCUCAAGAGCAGUAUGCCCUGUCAAGCAGAGAAUCAUGCAAAGACAACACGGUACUUGAACAAAGCACUCCUGGCAAGCCCAUUCUGAUUUCCCCAUGAAUUCUGAAAUUCUGAUUUCCCCACGAAGACUAGAGAAAUAGGCAUACUAGAGAGAGUCCAGCAAAGUGUCACAAGGAUGAUUAAGUGUUCAGAGCAUCUAUUAUAUAAGCCAAGGCUGAGAGAGAUGGAACUGUGUAGUCUGGAGAGGAAAAAUCCCAGGACAAUCUUACUAAUGUGUAUAAAUACCUGAUAGGGAAAAAAUAAAGAUGAUGGAACCAGA